rnacentral:misc_RNA from 1 species
GAGUAUUUGAGACUGGGACAGCCUUCCGGGAGCGCUUUCGAGCGCGACUUGGGACUGUCCACCUCACUGUACAUCUGAUCCAAACCCCUGUGCACUAGCUCUGCCAAUCUUUUUGGCGGAACGGAACAAACACUUUUUGAGUAAGAAUGGACGUUUUGUUGUUGGAUCAUAACGACCAACGAAGACAAAUA